ensembl:lncRNA
ACCCCUGCAUUGUGUAUCCUUCCUGGAAUGCUCCUUUGGGCAGGAAAAAAGCCCAUGCUCAGUGACUAAUCCAACAUGCAGUGGUACAAAGGAUCAUGCCAGUGACUGACCUGCACUGAGGACCUUUUUUGGCAAGAGGGAGGGUGGGUGAUGAGCCGAUUGCUGUACAAGAGUGGAGGGAAGUGGUUUGCAAGCAAGGAGAUAGUUUGUGGCUGAUGGCUCAGGGUUUCCUGGCCUGCCCUGCUGCUCUGGAGGAGAGGGCACAAGAGCAGAAUGAUGUCCUGGACUGCCAAGGCAAGGCUGCUGAGGAAAGUUGCCAAACUUUUGAUAAAUUAUUCCAAACAAAUGACCUGGGGUUUUCCUGGGAUGCCCUCUCUCAAGCAGCAUCUCUUCAUUACUUCCUAUUAACUCUGAGUUGGUUUUCACAUCUGACAUUCAGUUUUCUUCCUAUGAUAAAAUGUUUAAAAACUGGAAAUAAAAGAAGUAAUUUUUAUUAUGUGCUUUGGUCUCACUUGACGCUAUUUUGCAUUCCAGGUGUUCCCUGCAGCCCCUACCUGUUUUGUGUAUCCUUUGGGCUUGGUCUUGGGCAUUUAGACAAAGCAGAACCACUCAUAGAACUCUGAACCUUCUUUAGCCAUUAAGAAACUGCUGCACUGGAUCUGCCUGCUGCUGGGUUUUUUGGUCCUUUUCAAAUUACCUGCUCCUCCCUCUUUUCUUCCAGCAGACAAUAUGGCAUUAUGUAAUUAUUGUUAUAGCUGCAGUUUCACAGGGCAGGACAGGAGUAAUGCUUUUCAGGGCAGAAGCAGUACAGCUGUCAGGCUCGAGGUGUGAAGGAUAGGGAGGAACCAGCUCAGUGUCCUUUUAGCUACCUACACUCCCCAGAAAAGAUUCUGGUUGUGGUGGUGUAGGACUGACAAGACUAAUGUGUGUACCUGUGCUGUACCUACUCCUUGUAGGAGUGAGAGGAACAUUCCAUUCUAGGGCUGUCGACUAAGUGUGAAAAUUGACCUGCUGGAGGGAGAACACUGGUUUUAUCAUUAUUUUAAGCAUGAGGGAAUUAAUGGGUGAAUGCUGGAACCUGUAUGGCAUACCAGCAGGGGCUGUGACUCCUCCCAGCCCCCUCGUGGGAUGCUAAUAGGGAGGAGAGGUCCACUGUCCCAUUUGAAAGAGAAGGGCCAUGACCAAUCGAUGUUAAAUGCGGCGGCAAUGCCUCACACGGUGGCCGCGGGUUAAAAAGGCAGAGGCAGCCUGAACUGUAAAGACAUUUCAUUUCCCUGGUAAUGAGGGAGACACACUGUGGCAAUGAAACCAGGGAGAGAGAGGCUGCGAGAUGCUAAUUUCUGCUGCUGCUGCCGCUGCUGCUUUGAUCUGAAGCAAAUGCCCGUUUGAAAUUGCAAACGGAUGCGAGUCAGAUAUCAUCCAGCCAGGGGCUUACAGGCUUAACCAAGUGGGACGUAGCUGCUGCCUGGUAAUGUGAGCAGAGGCAGGCAAUUCAGAGAGGAAUUACUGAAGGUCUAAAGAGACAGGGAGCAAGGAUGGGGGGGUGUCACAGGCUAACUCAGUGUGGCACAGUGUCCCCUGCUUUCUGUCCUUGGGAAGCCGUGCCUGUGGCUAAGCCCCCUCCAGCCCCUCUGUGCUUGGAAAGGAAGCCUGAGCAGGCUGUCCUGGUGUCACACGCCCACAUUUUAAGGUACACAUCCUGUGCAGGCAAUGCAAGGUCAUCCUGCUCUUUGGUCUCUGUCUUGGUUUGAAAAGACAGGAGUCUGCGAAGGAAGGCAAAAGCCUCCUUUGAAACGGAAGAGGUAAACCCCCUCCCUCCGAAUUACCACAAUUUCAAAAUUAAAAGGCUCUUGGGCAAAGAUAUGGGAAUGGGAAUAACAGUUCUUUACUAGAAAAAAAUCAAAAUAUAAAAAAAUGUAAUUAGUACAAAUAAAACUACUGAUAGAGUCAGAAACCUGACACCCUGAGGAGUCAGGGUGCUGGGAAUAGUCCAGUUAAAUGGUGGCUGCUCCUCCUGGAGGGGCAGAUGAAAUGCUGCUGGAGCGGGGAACUGUAGAAGGGUGGAGUUCUCUCUGAAGUUCUGGUGAUGGAGUAGAUGGGCCUGGUCUUCCUCUGGGAAUCCAGCACAGAAGCUGCUCCUCUGGGAAUACAGCGAAGGGGCUGCUCAGAUGUCCCAAAAAUGCUGAUUUAAUGCAGGUAGGGCUGCUUGGCUCCUCCCUCUGGGCGGAGCAUCUCACAAUGGGAUGAUGGAACUUUACCAGUCAUGCAGUGAGUCAUUCCAUGGCCCAUUAACAGAAGAUAUCUCCCCGGAGGGAGACGUUGUUCUUGGAAGAGAUAAGAAAAGUGCCCAACCUCCAACAGAUGGCAAAUAGAAUACAUGCUUGUCUUACAAGCCAGGACAGUCUCAGAGCAUGAAUAUCAGUUUGGGGCAUUCUCCAGGUGAGGCAAAGGUAUGGGAGGUUAGGUCUUGUUCAUUUUCUGCUAUCAUUUGGACAUUUAAUUGAACUCGAGCAAGACAACUGACAAAGACAUUCUGGGACAGACACAGGGGCUCCUUGGGAUGGAGUCAUUAAUCCAGAAGCAGUGACCUGGGAGCCUGGGAGCUGAUACUGGACAAUGGCAUCUUCUUGAGAUUAUUUUGGGGAAAGAUCAGAAUUGUCUUGAAGAAUGAAUGUCUAAAGGGGUAUUUAUUAUACUCUUCACUAACACAAGGCUUUUUGGUCCUAGGAUGAGUCUGGAGUUUGUUGUAUGCCUCCUGUGGGUAUUCAGAGGUUUGGAUGUCUCAGCAAGAUGCUGCACUUGACCAGGCAGACAUGAGAAAUCUCAGGGACCUGCGGGGACCUGUAGGCACCUGCAGGGAGGAUUGACCUCUGCACUAAGCAAAGAAAUGGUCUGGCUAUUGAAAAAGGCUCACAAAUCUGCUAGGUCCUUUGAAGGAGUCAGCAUGUGAAUGGGAAUAAUCUCGUGGCUGUAGUCUGUGUGGAGCCAAAAGAGACUCCACAAUGUCCAUGGUUAUUACAGAAACUGAGUAACGAUAGGACAAAACUGGCAGCUCCUUGCAGGGCUAAGCUAUUUGUUAAAAAUACCAGGCAGAAAAGAAAGUAAGUGGUUCUGACAGAAAAGGGAGGUCACCAGCAAGGAGACCUGUGCUGCUCAACGAACACAGAAAUGGUCCGGAAAAGAGGAUGAUUGCUAAACAAAGAAAGAUAAUAUUAAGUUAAUAAAAGUAUUAGCAGCAAAGGCUGACUCUGAUGAAAUUCACAGGGUGUUAUGAGACUGAGUGGCUGCGUGAUGACAUUUGUCUAGGUGGCUGUAAAGUGAGACAUGGUGGCAAAAAAUUAACCAGUCUGAGCUGACCACUGUCAUUCAGAAGCAAAACCUUCAUGUGAGAAUAGCCAGGUGUAUGUGACAGCUGCACGAUGAUCAGAGCAGCCAAGAUAGGAAAAAAAAAAAAAAAAAAAA